rnacentral:sRNA from 1 species
GUUUCAAUUCCUCAUAGGCAGGCUAUCGGCCGUACGCAAUCCGGUCCGCUUGGCUUGACGUUAGUUG